CAGUCUUGAUCUCUUUGGUUGGCGGUACGGUAGACGUGAGCAGGGAGGCUCCAGCUGCAUCAUGCCGUUUUCACAUGUAGCGAUGCAUUCGUGUAUAAAUAUGGACUUUACUACAGAUGAGCCGCCAUGAACAGGUAAGGAUUGGAUGACUGGUUGAUGUAACGUGAGGAAACUUGGAGGCAGUAGCAUGUGAACUGUACCAGCCCGCUAGCAGUUAGCUAUCCUUGUUAGUCAAGCAAACACGUGGAUGAAGACUACGUCGGGCAAAAGCUACAACUGGAUUUUAAGCAGAUUUGGCUGUUGUGGAAUGAGGAUAUUUUCCUGCCAAAAAAGGGCUGAGCUUUUCGUCGUAAUGAAAGGUUCACGGUUCUUCUGUGCUGCUUGACUCUUCACUGUCGAAAGGGAGGAGACAUGGUGAAGAGGGCUUAUCUGCAAUGCAAGACGGCACAAGGCUGCAGAGAAGUUGAACAGAUGACUUCAGUGGAGAAGUGGACACCACACAGCUUGGAUCAUCCAGAAGUCUGGCGCCACAGUAUAUUAAAUACAGCACAUCUGUCUGAUUAAACCAUGAGUGAUCUAAAAAAUGUUUAUUAAAAUUCCAGCAUCAUGGCACAUGAUAAGUAACAUGAAUCCUACUGGGAGCACCCAGCAUGCGUUAGUCUAUGCUGAAGGAUCAUCUGUAAGAUUUCUUCUUCAAAUUGUCUAAGAAGAACUGUUCUUCUUGGAGGUAUUCACGGUCCUGUGGGCAGGAGAAGAAAGUGAUUGGCACCAGAAAGUUGAACUGUAAUAUGUUCCUGAAAAUAUUAAAUGUACUAGCAGACUUUAAGUAUUGGGGGGGGGGGGUGUAAUUGUGAGUGAGCCGCAUGUUACUGUAAUUAGCCUCUUUAAAUUUUUACAUUAAAGCCUCAAACAACCUC